GUCCUUUAUUUCUCCACUCAUACAGCAUAAGGUCCUUUAUUUCGCCAUCUCAUCCAGCAUAAUUCCUUUAUUUCCUCACCUCAUCCAGCAUAAUGUCCUUUAUUUCUCCAUCUCAUCCAGCAUAAUGUCCUUUAUUUCCUUACCUCAUCCAG
rnacentral:lncRNA from 1 species